CUGAAUUUUAGGGCUAUAAGCCUAUGUUUGGUUUUUUCCAAGAUGUGCCUAAACAUGCUUUCCUAGCUUAAUCCAAUCCUGAUUAGAACAUAAAUCUGUUCUAAGAGGCUUGUCACGACCACCCUAUUAGCAUAUGACUUUAACCACGAUAGAUCUGAACACCUCUUAAGAUCAUGAAGUUUAAAACAGUAGAAAAGAGAAUGAAAUUAAACAUUUCUGCAAUGUUUUGAAAAAAAGGAUGUGACAUUUUCAAAGCAGCUCUCCCUCCUGCUUUUUUCCUUAGCAGUAUCUUCUACCCUCAACAUUAUGAAUGAAGUUCCCAGUUCGAGACCAAUUCUCGCCCAUCCCACUGGGACACACUCCCGGUGCCAUGUGUCUGCAGGAGCACCGAUCCGUCAUUUAGUUCGACUAACAUUCACCCACGCGGGCGGCUCAACUGUGAAUUUCACUUGAUACACACUGUAAAUGGCCU